UACCGCAAUACAAAACAUUACAAUUUAUUACUACAGUCCAAGACCCUGUUGCUCGUAAAUAGGAUCGCAAUCAAACAAAUGUUUUACUGUUACAUCGAUAUUUUUAAUUUCAUCGUAAUUUUAUGGAAGAUCAAUACAUGGUGACAAAUAAAUAUUUGAAAUCAACUGACUUUUUACAUUUGAAUUCUUCAAUGCUAUAGGCACUCGAUAUAAUAUAAGGUCUAGAUGUGAACAUUUUAACAUUGACUAUUCGCACUGAAAAAAAAAAAAACUGCUCGCAAAUACACAUACGGUCACGCUUAUGUUUAUAAUAUCCAAAGUGGCCUUUAAAAUGUUCACAUUAGAAUGUCUAAUGCAGUGUUUCCCAAUUACUUAGUGGUACAAAAAUUCCAACAAACAAUUUGUCGGUGCAUAUCCCUUGGCAAUUAACAACAAUCUAAUCUCUAAUCUGGAGAUAGAUUACUAUCAACAUUGCUACGUAACCUACCGAGAGAUCACAGAUAGAAUUGUUUAUUAAUUUCGGCAGUUAGCAACAUUGUCAUUUGUCAAAAAAUGGUCUUUUUUUGACAACUAACAACGUUACUACAACAGAUUACGGAUAGCUUGAUUAAUUUCAUUUCAGCCGUCUGCCAUUAUAAGGGAUAAUCACGACAAACUGAGCGCAGGUUACGAAACUUUGAUAAAUAUACUAGAUAAUUAAGUAUACUAUCGAAAUCAUCUAUAUUGGCAACCAUUGCUAUACUUUUGGCUAAAGUAAAGUGGGCCAAUAACAAUGUUAGCAACGAUGUCAAUGUGUCUAGUCAAAAUGUUCAUAUUACAUGAUCCGGUAAUUUACUUGUUUGUUUGUCAAGGCCUUACACAGAAAAAACAUUGAUGUAGUUACUUAUAUUUGUUUUGAUUGAGAACAUUCUUCAAACUUACAAGUACUUAGUAAAUAAAUAAAAGAAUCUCCUACGGGGGGAGGGAGGGGGUACAAACAUGUAUUAUUGCUAUAUUUUCAAAACAGUACUUGAAAUAGUUAGUCUAAUUGGGAACCACUGGUCUAAUGAGUCGACGGUUAGCACUUUGUGAAGCUUAUGGAAUGAAAAUCUGCAGAUAUCAAGCAGAUAUUUGAAACUCCUAAAUAUUUAUGGGGACACAAUCACUCUAGUUUUAUAUACAAUGAUAAUUAUGAAAAGUACACAUCAUUAAUUCCUUAAAUAUAUAAAAUCCAAUCCAAAAAAUACACUUGCCACUAAAGGAACAGUUAGGGUGAACGCGAAGGUCUAACAUGAUCCCUAUAAAUUAACAAAUAAAGUAUAAACACCUCAACAUUGUGGUAGGUAAUAGGUAUAACUAAACAAUGCUGAAACAGUGAGAGUUAUCACAAAAACGCUCAGUAAUUUCUUAUAUAAGAGACAAUGAAAAUAAAAGUCUAGUGAACAAUAGCUUGAAAGUAAUCUUAGAUUAUUAAUGCUCCACUAUAUCUCAAGAUGUCAUCCAAGGCUAUAGAUACGUUUUUGCAUUAUAAAGUCUGCAUUCUAGGCACAAUACAUUAACUAUAAUGAACUAUAAGUAUACUUAUUUCACUGAGACAGCCCGUGAGGAAUGGCGCGGGUUGAAGAAGGUUGACAGUUGACAUCAGGGAGUCUGAGGUCCGAUAGGUAAUAAUCCUUGUUAGUGGUACGCCUCAGACGGUGUGUACUUUACUUGUACUGUAAGACCUAUCUACCUGCCUUUCAUGAUUAUAAGUCAACGGGAAGUACCCUACAGGUUUUCUUGACAGACACGACGGACGGCGGACGGACGGACGGACGGACAGACAGACAGACAACAAAGUGAUCCUAUAAGGGUCCCAUUUUUCCUUUUGAGGUACGGAACCCUAAAAAAGUGACAGUCGACAUAAAAAUCAAGAAAUUCAACGUCACUAUAAUCCACGAGCCGUCUCAGCCAAACAGUACACCUAUCGUUCACUCUGCCUAUAGUAUGAAAAUUGCCGAAUUUUCAUAGAUUUUUUUCAACGAAAACUAAAAACAUUGAAAAAGUUGAUAUUAGCGAAAAUUUCAUGUUAGCUAAAAUAUUAGUCAUUAAAAUUCUUAAGAUUGGUUUUAUUAUAAUGAACAUUGCAUUUAUGUUAGACGUAAUGAUACUAGUGAAAUUAUUUACCUUACGACUAAUUCGAGUUUUGUGUAAUAGUGCAAGGUGCAACUGUAACGAAAAAGCCAAUUUCAAUUUGGAAAUGUCAAAAAGUAUAUGCAUAAACAAAUAAGCAAAGUUAUACAUAGCUUUUAUAGAAACCAUUUAAGUUAAUGAAGUUUUAUGGCACCAAAGUCCAAAAUUCGACCACUCUACCUGGACCUAUAUUGUUUUUUCCAAAAUAAUGACAUAUCUCUACAUUAAACAGGAUGAAUUUCAGAGUCAUCUCUAUAGUUACUAGAAUAUCAAAGCAUUCAAAUUAGGGCGGUUGAUAUUUUUUAGAGGCGAUGAGUUUUCCAUCCUUAACUUGUGCAAUAUUAAGUUAAAAAAAAAAAACUAAAAAAAAUGUACUUAUUAUAAUGAAGUUCCUCUCUAAAACACAUCCUGUAUAAUAUUUUAUCUUUUAUGCCAGGUGUUUUGAAUGAUAUUUAAAAAAAAAACAAAUAUUGAAAAUUGUGGUUCUACAAAAAUGGCAUUAGAAUUUAAUAAAAAAAAAGUUUUAACUGACUAAUGCUACUGUUGCUGGACAACACUAUAAUUUAAUUUAGAAUGAUUAUUUUAAUGAUUAAAGGUUGAUAUGAUUUAGCAUUUUCCAAUAUAACAUAGUGAUAUAUAUUAAGAGGAUUUUAUUGAACAAAAGUUUAGUGAUCCAAGGAGCUGAUAAAUUCAGUUGUCAGUAACACACUAUAUAUACUCUUAUUAUACUUAAUAUAAAUGUUAUAAUCUGUGCAAAAUUGGUUAAGUAACCAUCCCAGGAUGUUUAACCUAAUGACUAUAACCACAUAUGCGUACAAUGCUUUCACGUAAAAUUCUCUACAAAUAACUAGGUAGAUAAUUGUAUAAUGCGUUGAAACUAAGAAUAGGAACGACUUUCCGCCUUAAUAUUAUGACGUGUGACUGGUAAUAUAUUUUUUAACUAAUUUUGUAAUAAGUCUUUAAAAAUGAAAAAAAAAAAUUGCCAAUUGAGUCUUUGUAUUUUAAAAAUGAAACAAAAAAGUUAUACAUGCAAAUUAUUUUCCUAGUGAACCAUAAUUUUCUAACAGUUGACAGAUAGAGGUCAUUGACUUCCUAUUCUUAGUUUUAACGCAGAUUACAGCCUGGAUUCAAGUCCUACAUCUAAUGCUAACAAACUUUUUUUUAUAAACUUGCCAUAUUAUGAUCAAAUAUUAUACUUGCAUUGAACCAACCAAAAUUGUUGAACUCAUACUUAUUGAUAGCAUAUCUAAUGAUGGACAUUGACAAAUUCAAACUUUACUUUUUAUACUCUUGCAUAGUUAGGGCAAUCCAUCAAUUAUGUCACAAAAACACAGUUUUUUAACUUAAGUAUAUUUUACAUAUCGACACCUGUAAAGAAAAACAUCGUAACUCACUUUUUAGCGAUUUUGAGUUACAAUCAUAUUCAUAGUAAACAAAAAAUGCUCUUUUUUUGCGCUCAGCCCGGUCUCUAAAUUAAGUCUCGUUGCGAUUUUAGCCAGUGGAAAAAGAUAGUAAAGUCAGCAUCCACUGAAGAUGAUAAAGUGGCAUAUUUAGUUAUACGUACUUGGCUAAGGCGGCCAUCAAUAAUAUUACGUAACUAAAAGUAAUGUAACUAAAAUUUGUAAUGUAAGAUAGGUACCUCUUGUUUUCGGCAAGUUUUUUUUUUUUCGUAUUAAGCGAACUUUCAUCGUAACUCAGGCUCUGUAUCUCAACUUACAAUUUUUUUACUAAAUAAAGAAAAUAUUUAAGCACAAUGCUGAUAAUUACAAUGUCAUUUUGUAUUCAUAUACAGUGGAAAAUAAUUGUAAAUCACAAAAAAUAAUAAAGACCCUAGAAUAAUUACUCUAACUAUAUAAAAUUGUAGAUUUUACGAGUACCUUGCUGACAAACAUUUUAAAGGAUGGAUAGCGUUAAGGCUUAACAGAAAUUAAUGAGAAUUUUUUAAAUCUUUAGACGCGCUGUUCUGUAAAGUUACGAAAAAUGAGAUAUGAUGUUUUUCCUUGCAGGUGUCGAUAUUUGUCAAUGUUGUUUUACUGUUUACAUGGCAAUAUAAAUUAUUACUGCUAGCCAUCAAAAAGAAAGCAUUGUACUAACAUAGCAUUCACGAUCUAGGCUAUGAUAGAUGAUUUAUGAAUUAUGAUAGAUAGUCUCCACCAGAAUGAUGUCAUUAAUAGUCUCACAGUAACCAAUAGUCUCAACCUCACUUGUAAGGCCAUUCUGUAAAGUCGCAUUGGAUCUACUGUCAUUUUGUGUCAAUCGAAAAGCUUCACAUUUUUGUUCAUAUCCCCCUAUGAGUCAAAGCCCCUGUUCACCUAAAAAUUUUUGAACUUCCAAGCGAUUCUAAGCUUUGUAAUCAUUCAUACAAGUUAGUCACUUUUUAGUUCUUUGUAACUUAUCCAGUAUGGUUUAAGGGGAUGCAUGAUUUGAGGUCUGCUCCUCCUCGACCACUAUCAAAUAUAUCUGACCUCCACACUUUGAUUUGAUUAGAUUCCUUAUCACAAUAGUUAUGAUUUUGCCUCUCCAUUGUUAACUUCCCCGUGCCCAUAUAUGUGACAUAAUUAACAGAUAGACCUCUAUACAACAUAAUGUAAUGCUGGCAAAUACAUAUUCAAGUUUACUGUCAAGUUUGUAGGGAACUUGAAGACGCAUCCAGUAAACUUAACUGUGUAUAUACUAUAUAAUAUUAGUAUAGAUAGGCUAUCAGUGUGCAUCAUGUUAAGUUGCCAGUAAACUUGAUUAUAUGUAUUGCCAGUGACCAGUAAUAUGUAUUUUGUUUUUCAAGCUCAAAGAAUAAGUAUCAGAUCAUGCAAGCUGUGAUCACGGCAUACAGCUCAGCGCACAUGGUUUCACUCACCAUUACAAUACAUAAAUCUACAAAAUAAGGAACUAUACAAUACACUUAAACCCAAACAAAUCCUUGCAUCAGAUCACAAUCAGGUCGAAUUGCACAAAUGAACACAACUACAAUAAAAUACAAUAAAUUACUUAAUCUCUUUUAGGACUGAUUUUGCCAUCGCCAAAUAAACUUUAACUGAUGAAUACAUUUGAAAUUUUAACCGACUUCCAAUACAAAAACUGACAAAAUUUUUCCUCAGAUAAACAUAUUUUGACAAUUGAAAGAUCGACUUCCAAUACAAAAACUGUCAAAAUUUUUCCCCAGUUAAACAUUAUAUUUUGGCAAUUGAAAGAUCCGUCCUUAAUUACUUAAAAUGAUAUAGUUAAAACCUUAAUCAAAAAUAUCAGCUGAUUCAACAAUAUUAAUAUUUUAAAUAAACGCAAUAACAAAAAGUCAAAACUUAAAAUAACUUUUUCAAUGUACAAUAUAUUUAACAAAGUAGAUGAUUAACCCUUUAAGUACUGAUAAAGUGUUUUACAUUGGUGUUUUGUUUGUGCAAUCUAAAUUGUCAAACAUUAAAGUCAUGCCAUCCCUUUCUGCAGAGAACAUUGUAAAAAGGGUGGCAAUAUAGUCUGUCAAAUGUAUCAAUUACUUAAGUUGUUUUUGAUUAGUUUUUUUUUGUUUUCAUUUUGUUUGUAUAGCUUUUUUAACACAUUUUGAUUGAUUAACGCAACAUAAAACAUUAGAACUCUUUGCUUUUUGACUAGUUUUGAUUGAUGGGUUAGUUUUUUUGCUGUUAAUUUUUGUGUAACGAUUCGAGUUGCCUGCAAUCUAUUGUAAAUUUAUAGUAGUAUGCCCAAAACCUUGACGCCGACAACAACUGUAAAAAGUUUGAACUUUGAAAGUUUGAACACACACACAUUCAUUUUUAUAUUUCAGAACCUACAGUUACUUUAGAAAAGAUUGCUUUUGACCUUGAAGGUCUUUGCUAAUCUUUUCUGAGCAAAUAUGGCAAAAUAAGACAAAUUAUGAAUAACUUAUAACUUUCGCCUGAUAUUUUCUCUGCAUUACCUUUUUAGUUUGUGUCUAGAUAGAUAUUAAUAUACUUAACCAAUGGUCACAUGAGAUGGAAGAGACUAUAAUUCAUGAUCAGUGCAAGAUGACAGUAAAACUUUUGAUCUUGAGAAUAUUAAUUACCUACUUAAGUUGUUGUACACAUAGCAUAAUUUUUGUAACCCAGUAAUUCCUUCCCUAUGCCUAUAUUAAAUCUUAGGAUGUGUUUCCACUAAACGAGCAGAGCAGAGAUGUGUGUUUUCGACCAAUCAGAUUAUUGAGAGAUGAAGUGAUAAAAUUCAUCUACUUAAUAACAACUUGAAUUAAUAUCAAAGAUACAUGUCUCCAGUCUCCAUGCUCCGUUUCAGUGGAAAUGCAUUAGACUAAAUCUUAGCACAAUAAAUCUGUCAUCUAGGGAAAGAGGCUGGGGUCUACCUGUGAGGUCAUUCGCUAACUCAAUGUCUAACACUGAAUGAGAGCCACAGAGCUCGUUUGACAUUAAUUUUUCAUCCAUUGAAG